rnacentral:rRNA from 1 species
CCUACGGGGGGCAGCAGUGGGGAAUAUUGGACAAUGGGGGGAACCCUGAUCCAGCCAUGCCGCGUGUGUGAAGAAGGCCCUCGGGUUGUAAAGCACUUUCAGUGAGGAAGAACGCCUGGUGGUUAAUACCCAUCAGGAAAGACAUCACUCACAGAAGAAGCACCGGCUAACUCCGUGCCAGCAGCCGCGGUAAUACGGAGGGUGCGAGCGUUAAUCGGAAUUACUGGGCGUAAAGCGCGCGUAGGUGGCUUGAUAAGCCGGUUGUGAAAGCCCCGGGCUCAACCUGGGAACGGCAUCCGGAACUGUCAAGCUAGAGUGCAGGAGAGGAAGGUAGAAUUCCCGGUGUAGCGGUGAAAUGCGUAGAGAUCGGGAGGAAUACCAGUGGCGAAGGCGGCCUUCUGGACUGACACUGACACUGAGGUGCGAAAGCGUGGGUAGCAAACAGGAUUAGAGACCCUGGUAGUC